GACGACGCUGGCGGCGUGCCUAACACAUGCAAGUCGAGCGGAGUCGAUCGACGGAAGCCUUCGGGCGGAAGAUGGUUGACUUAGCGGCGGAUGGGUGAGUAACGCGUGGGCAACCUGCCUCGAAGACCGGGAUAACAGUCCGAAAGGGCUGCUAAUACCGGAUGUGGUCAAGGAUCCGCAUGGAUUUUUGAUUAAGGGAAACCCGUUUCGAGAUGGGCCCGCGUCCUAUCAGCUAGUUGGUGAGGUAAAAGCUCACCAAGGCGACGACGGGUAGCCGGCCUGAGAGGGUGACCGGCCACACUGGAACUGAGACACGGUCCAGACUCCUACGGGGGGCAGCAGUGGGGAAUCUUCCACAAUGGGCGAAAGCCUGAUGGAGCGACGCCGCGUGAGCGAAGAAGGCCUUCGGGUUGUAAAGCUCUGUCUGGAGGGACGAAGGAAGUGACGGUACCUCCGGAGGAAGCCACGGCUAACUACGUG
rnacentral:rRNA from 1 species